ACGUAGAACAUCCAUUAAAAUUCAGGACACAGAAACAAAGAAUUCAAGAAAUUUUAAAUACGAGAUAAGCUCGGAAAAGCCGCUAGUUUUAAACAUUCAAUUCACACGAUAGACGAAAUUCCAGUCAACACCAGGCAAUAUCGUUACCCACCAAUACAUCAAGAGGAAAUUCAAAAACAAAAACCUGAUUCACAGGGAAAGAAACAAUAUCGGUGCAAUUCUCGAAUCCACCCCACUCGUAGGGCUCACACGCACGUCGCUAUCGCCCUGGCUCGUAACAUGAGGAUCACCGACAUCGAAGGAGAAAUUCUGGAUACGGUCAUCCGAGGAUAUUUAAUUCCGGACCAUCUUUCGAAGUCGGGCAUCUGAAGCUAACGGGAGUUCGAGGAAAAGCAGUCAAUAGCAGUCCGAGGACCAAUUGACAGCGAGAGCAAAGCAUCUACCAGCAAGCAGCCGAGUGCAGUCCGAGGACCACCGGGACGCGGAACAACGACAUCCACAGCAUGCAGGUAACUCUACUGCUGUAAGUCCUAACUCGCAUGUAUCAUAACAAAUUGUAAACCAGAAUCUUGUAUGUCGGAACAAGGUAACGAUAUAGAUCGUUUUCGAUUACCAUAUACUAGAGUCAUUUC